rnacentral:rRNA from 1 species
UACAGAGGGGGCAAGCGUUAUUCGGAAUUAUUGGGCGUAAAGGGCGCGUAGGCGGCUUGGCAAGUGAUGGGUGAAAUCCCUCGGCUUAACCGAGGAACUGCCCAUCAAACUGCUUGGCUUGAGGCCGGGAGAGGCGAGUGGAAUUCCCAGUGUAGCGGUGAAAUGCGUAGAUAUUGGGAGGAACACCAGUGGCGAAGGCGGCUCGCUGGACCGGUUCUGACGCUGAGGAGCGAAAGCGUGGGGAGCGAACAGG